ensembl:snoRNA
UGGACCAAUGAUGACAAUGGUAAGAAUCAAAAAUGAUGAUUAAUCCAAAUUCCUGCACUUGAUAUCAUA